CUGCCCAUUGAUCAAGUCUCACGUCAAAGCAUGGAAAUUUAUAGCAAGUGUUUUUGCCCCUUUCUCAGUGAAUUUUUAAUGGUGAAAUUAAGGCAAACAAUCCUUAAGAUAAACGAAGAGUUACAUUUAGAGCCAAAAGGCUUCUGCAAGAGAGAGAGAGAGAGAGAGAGAGACCUUGCUUCGGGCAAGUACUGAAUGUAAAAAAACUAUUUUACGCUUAUAAACUUUCCCCUUUAAUGUUUACUCUUCUACUUUUCCUUUCGGGGAUUCAAUCAAUGUUACAGAACACGUACAAACCGCACUAUGCUAAGGCGUCAGACUCCUUUAUCUCAGAGCAUUAGCAAUGCAACAUGGUAAUGAUAUAGUGAUCGUUAGUCAGCAGGGUGCCCUUCGCUACGUGAAGCACCUUCCAAAUCAAUUUGAAACUGGGCCAGGACAAUAAAUCACGUAACUGCUUGAGCGUGGGCGUCAUCCCGUUGACCCAACAUGGGUUGUGGGUUGUGGAACCAUA